CCUAAGUGAAAAUGGGAAAAACAUCAGAUCAUGCUGACUCCCUAACUGGAAAGGUAGCUCCCAGGUUAGCUCCUCUCAAAGGGCUAUUUGUCAAGAUUGCCAGGAUCAGCAUGCAUCAUUCAGCCAGAUGGACCUCUACUUUCCUUGAAUUUGAACUGAUUUCCCAAAUUGGAGGCCUUAAGAGGCAAAACAAAAAGUCUGAGCUGAAUGUUUUCUCCCUAACUGAUGAGUCAGGGCCAGAGAGUCUGUGCUGA
rnacentral:lncRNA from 1 species